rnacentral:rRNA from 1 species
UACGUAGGGUCCGAGCGUUGUCCGGAAUUACUGGGCGUAAAGAGCUCGUAGGUGGUUUGUCGCGUUGUUCGUGAAAACUCACAGCUCAACUGUGGGCGUGCGGGCGAUACGGGCAGACUAGAGUACUGCAGGGGAGACUGGAAUUCCUGGUGUAGCGGUGGAAUGCGCAGAUAUCAGGAGGAACACCGGUGGCGAAGGCGGGGUCUCUGGGCAGUAACUGACGCUGGAGGAGCGAAAAGCCGUGGGGGAGCGAACAGG